ensembl:lncRNA
GGGAGAGAGAGAGGGAGAGAGAGGGGGAGAGAGAGGGGGGGGGAAAGAGACUGGGGCAGAGAAAAAGGGACAGAUAGGAAAACGGCAGACCAGGGUUGUAUUUAUUGGGGGUGUGAGUGCCGCGCUGUAGGCUGUGGGAUGGUCGGGAGAGUGCAAGGUGUUGCUGUUAGGUGUGGUUGGGUUUACAGAAAGGGGAAGAGCAUGCAUAGAUAGAAUGGUGGAGUGAGGAAAAAAAAAGAGAGAGAUGGAAGGAUUGGUCAUGCGCAAGGAGUCGACUUGCUUCCCCUUUCUCCACCUCCCCAUUAUGUAAAACUGUGGAUUAGACCGCAGGCCGUUGGAGGCAGCUUAGAAAUCUCUUACAUCUGGAACAGCCAUAAUUCGUGGGAUUUGGCCUGACAGCCAUGACAGGCACUGGGGCGGCCAGCAACAACUGUCUCCUGUGUUAGCAGCAGUCUGUAUGUAGCCUGAGCUGGAAUGGAUGAAAAUAUUUACUGUGUACACACCAUCCACAAAUCCUUUCCCUCUCUUGAUCCCUGGCUUUUAUUGUUUCCCUUCUCUCCCUGCUUUUUACUCCUGUCUUUGAACACGUGCACGCUCUGACACAGAUACGUGAAGAUAUGUGAAUAAAGGUGUUUCUAACAUAGGCUACUGUCCUUCUCUUUUGUGUGGUUAUUACACAUAGUAUCAAA